rnacentral:rRNA from 1 species
UAGAGUUUGAUCCUGGCUCAGGAUGAACGCUAGCGGCAGGCUUAAUACAUGCAGUCGAGGGGCAGCACGGGUAGCAAUACUGGGUGGCGACCGGCGCACGGGUGCGAUAACACGUAUGUAAUCUGCCCUUAACAGGGGGAUAGCCCGGAGAAAUCCGGAUUAAUACCCCAUAGUAAUAUGGAUCGGCAUCGAUUUAUAUUUAAAGCUCCGGCGGUUAAGGAUGAACAUGCGACUGAUUAGCUAGUUGGUGAGGUAAUGGCUCACCAAGGCGACGAUCAGUAGGGGUACUGAGAGGUUAAACCCCCACACUGGUACUGAGACACGGACCAGACUCCUACGGGAGGCAGCAGUAAGGAAUAUUGGACAAUGGAGGCAACUCUGAUCCAGCCAUGCCGCGUGCAGGAAGAAGGCGCUAUGCGUUGUAAACUGCUUUUGUACCAGAGAAAAUCACUGUACGUGUACGGUGUUGAUAGUAUGGUAAGAAUAAGCAUCGGCUAACUUCGUGCCAGCAGCCGCGGUAAUACGAAGGAUGCGAGCGUUAUCCGGAUUUAUUGGGUUUAAAGGGAGCGUAGGCGGUCUUAUAAGUCAGUGGUGAAAUCUCGUUGCUUAACAACGACCGUGCCAUUGAUACUGUAGGACUUGAGUACAGUUGCCGUUGGCGGAAUGUGUCAUGUAAGCGGUGAAAUGCAUAGAUAUGUCACAGAACACCGAUUGCGAAGGCAGCUGAGCGAAACUGUAACUGACGCUGAG